UACGAAAGGUGCGAGCGUUAAUCGGAAUUACUGGGCGUAAAGCGCGCGUAGGCGGUUUGUUAAGUCUGAUGUGAAAGCCCCGGGCUCAACCUGGGAAUUGCAUCGGAUACUGGCAAGCUAGAAUGCGGUAGAGGGGGGUGGAAUUCCAGGUGUAGCGGUGAAAUGCGUAGAGAUCUGGAGGAACACCAGUGGCGAAGGCGGCCCCCUGGACUGACAUUGACGCUGAGGUGCGAAAGCGUGGGGAU
rnacentral:rRNA from 1 species